GGCGGCUGCUGGCCCACCAGCCUAGGGUUACCUGGUGUGAGAUGUUCUCAGCACUGUGGGCCUUUGAGAGGGUCAUUAGGACAGGCAACUCUUUCAGGGGCUCACUGUGUCUUGGGGGUUCAACAUGUCUGUAGGGUAUCUGUGAGUCCAAACCAAGAUAGGAAAGAAAGCCCCGAAUCAAGACAACAAAGAAGAAAUUUCUAAACAAAACCCACAUAGGAGGUAGGGAGCCUGUCUGCGGUGUGAAAGUUUCGAAGGACAGGACAGAGCUGUCAGGUCACCAUAACGGGAACAAGCUGUAGGCUUGCGAUGUGGCCUUCUGUGAUACCAUGCAUGUGGAAAAGCCACCAAGUGGAUAGGCCAGGAAGGACCAGGCUCGCCAGGGCAUUGCCUGCCCAGGUUCCCUGCCUGCUUUGACAGCAAGCUCCUACAGAUGUCAAGCACUCCAGCUGUCAGCUUGAUUUAACUCAAAUAGCAAGUGUCCUUAAGUCCAGUCCACAGACAUCUGUCCCUCUGAGUGUGUCAUAGAUAACAUGGUUGGGAUCUGCCCCCACUUCUCAGGAUGGAAACCACCACAUUAACUGACUGUGGAUGAAGCUGGGGAGGGCAGAGACGAGGGGACCCUUCAGUCAAGCACAGUUGGGACUGCUCCUAAUACAAGAUGAAUGUCACCACACAGAUCCUGUCUCUCAGUGACUGUGUCACACAGAGGCACAACCCGAGGUGAAAGGUUAAAAAACUAAGACGUAGAACCAUUCUCCGUGCUCCACGGAGCACCUAACAGGAAGAAGGAUGCUGAGGGAUCAGGGGACCACACAAAUCUUCUGCAAGGUAUUAAAAGGGAGUCACAGCAAUCAAGGCGGGCAGCAGGAAGGGUGCCCAUAACCAUAGGCUUUGGAAUUCCUGGGUCAGACACUUGCACGGGAACUCAGCUUGAGGUAGGUGACCUGGGGGGGGCAAGCAGCGGGUGCUUGAGGAGGUUAUGGUCCCAUGCCUUGCCAUAGCGUCGUGAAGAAUGGGGAGCAUUCUCACUGGCUUCUAAGAUGGCCAGCCUGGGGCCAGGGCUGAGAAGGCAACAGAGGAAAGCAAGGUUAGUCUAGCCUGGGGCCGUGGCAGAUGUGUGACUGCAGACAUGGGCAGUACUGGGAGCCCUGGGGGGCAUUGCGAUGUCUCUUAAGUGACUGACUGGAAGCCCCAUGCAGGGUGUGUGUUAUGGCAGACCACUGCUCAGUUUUCUCUGUGUACUUCCCCGGAGUAGUUUCUGAGGAUGCCCUGUGCCUCCAGCAUUCAUCUUUCCUGGGACCUGCUGGGACCUGCUGGGACCUGCUGGGACCUGCUGGGUCCUGCUGGGUCCUGCAUCCACUUGGCUUUCCUGAACCGGGAAACAUCUUGGGCAACAGCACCGGCCCAGCAAGCACCUGGCCCCAGGCCCCACUGCUCCAAGACUUAGCAUGCUGCUAGUGCAACCCGUGGCCACUGCACUUCUGGGGACCCACUGUCCAGGAAAGAUCUGGAAGCUGGCAUCAGCGUAGACCCUCUGAAGCCAGGCCUGGAGAGCAUCCGGUUAAGACGGGGAGUGCUUUGUUGGCAUUGCGCUCUCUCUCUCUCUCUCUCUCUCAUCAUCAUCAUCAUCAUCAUCAAAGCUAUUUCAAGUGCACAUCCAAGGAUGGAGAAAUCCAGAGGAUUCUGAAGUUAACUGUUACACUGCCAAAGAAGAGGGCACAAAGUUGCCAGAGGCAGCCAAGGGAUCUUUGUCCUUCAGGCCCUGGAACAACAUGAAGGAGCUGGUACCCCCAACAUUGCAGCAGUGUCAUGGUAACUUUCCCUUCACACGUGGCUGCAGGUCAAACGCUAAGGAACCCAACACUGAAAUGUGUGUGGCAACGCAUCCCCCUUCCACCAGGGACACAAAGAUGGAUGCCGGUGGUCCCAGGCUAUCUCCAGAGCAGAUACCAUCCCUGCCUUGCCAUGUCUGAGGGCAAAUACAACACAGUGAAGUUAGGGGGCAGCCUGAAGUCUCCAUCUAUUCAUACCUGUCCAGAAAGUGAAAAAAGCCACAAGUAUGCUGCCCGGCUUGCCAUGAAGAAAGGGGGUCUCUCUUACCAGUCAUCGGCAUCAGUGACUGUGAUGCCUACAUGUUCUGUCCCACCGAUGCCCGGCAAAGAACUAAAACAGGAGGGAGGCCGCACAUCAGCCCUGAUUUUGCUAAGGGAAAAAAAAAGAGCGAUAACACCUUCCCCUGAGAUUAUCCCAAGCAGCUUGACCACAAAUGACAUCAGAGCCUCUUCUGUGGACGUACACCAGACCAGAACUGGGGCAGCCAGUGCUGAGAGAGAUGCGUGCUGACAGGUCCUGAAGCAGCCACAACAUCUGGGCGGCCAGGGGAUGGGGAGUCAGAAGUGAGGAAAGAUGGCCUCCACUGUGGACAUGCUCCCUCACCGUCCUGAGACCAUUGUCAAGCGUGUCGGCACUCAUUUCAGCCAUGACCUCUCCCUGAAGUGGUUCACAGAUAGAUUGGCUGUUGACCUUGCCACUGGCUCCCAAGUGGGGAAACAGAUGUGACAAUCAGACCAUGAAAGAAGGGAGCUAUCCGUGGCCUUCUUCCCCUGGAGACAGUGUUAAUGAGGAGAGCUGUUCACAAGAUUUCCAAGGCACAGAGAGUGUGAACAAACACAAAAGAAGCAGCAGAGGCCAGUCCUAUCAGAGAGAGGCUCUGUGGGUGUCAGACUCGGGGAGUGCAGAUGAGAGGAGACGUCACCUGCGCAUAGGAGAAAACAUAGUAUCAAAUCUGAACUCACUCUGUGGGCUGUUCUGAAAAAGUGUAUCUCAAGGUGGGAGCUGCCACCUGCACAUACAGAGCAGCCCCUGAGUUCAAUUAAGACAGUUAAGUACUCACUCCAGUUUGCGCUAGUAAGAAUGCUGGCUGUAGUGUCCUGACGCCACCGUGUGGCUGAGAUGUGUGCAACAGUCUGUGAUGCCAGGUUGUACUGUGAAGGAACAGAGGGUAACCACCAUUUGCCCAGCGAAUGUAGGAACCAGGGCUCAAAAUUAAAUCUAAAAGAAAGAAAGGCACGCGCAUCAAAAGAUAACUUGGUUUGAUUUUUGCCUCCCAGAAGCAGAGCAAAGUGUUCCUACCUGCUGGUGUUGAGGCCUGGUGUUUUCUUCCAUGGAAAUUGGCAGCGUCCUACAUUUUAAUUGCAUGGAAAUGAAACGUUUUCAGUGAUGAUGGCAUGAUGGGAAAUCCCGUCUUUAACCUUACCUGUGACUGCAUUUUCAAAUCCUACUUAAUUAGGAUUUCCCGAGCCGGGUGGGCUCCAUCUAUCUGCUCAGUUCUUUCCCUCAGAUAUAAACAAUUUCUUUCUGGCCCACAGCUUCAGAACCUAACAUCUGCAAACCUUGAAAUGAAUGGGUGAAACCCAUGAUUUUAAACUCGAUUCUUCCCCCACAUCUUACGGCCUGCCGUAUAACAGACCAGCAGCCUCCUGUGGCUGUCACUAAUCACGUGAUCCUCCCACGCUCUCCACACCCAGUCUACCUGGUUCGCGCUGCCUUAUCUCCAGCACUGGGCCUGGCCUCCUCGGGGCCUCAGCGGGAAGGCUUUAGCCUCUCAGUUUCGCCCUACAAAUGAAGCCGAGGAGGGCAGUAGAGCUGGGUGAAGGGUUUGGCGUCAGUGAGGGGGACAUAGCACCUCCUGCUUAAACGUGAGUCAGCAGUUGUUUUUCAUUGUUUACACAAAUCUGCUUGGAGACAGGAGAAAGAAGAAAGUAUAACUCUAAAAACCUGGGUAAAGCUGGUCUGGAUCCCAGGCAAAGGGAACCCUUCUCGGGCCAGAAAUAAAGAAGUAGAAUCUAUUUUGCUUAACCAUGAAACACCAGGCCCCACUUCCUUGUGAAACGGCUAUUGUUAAAGCUCAUGAUGUGUCCCAGGCCGCUCUUAGGAAGCAGCUUGUCUUCCGCAGAACAAGCAGACGCCCAGUCUGAUGACCACUGGCCUCUGAUAGAACUUCCAAGCUUAGCCAUCCCCAACCUUCCACCCUACAAGAGGUUGGAAAACAUAUGAAAAUCCCUUUCCGGGCCUCUGCAGAGAGCAUGUUUGAGCGCCCCCUGCUGGUGAGGUUGGAAAAAUCCCUUUCCGGGCCUCUGCAGAGAGCAUCUGAGCGCCUCCUGCUGGUGGUGGGCACUGUUUCCCAUGAAGGAAACUGGAAUUUUUCAAAAAUAGUGCAAACAGGCUAAUGGAGAAAGAAUGGGUCUUAGAAAUCGAUGAUGUGGUUGGCCAGGGUUGCCUUCCAUAGUUAUAGAAUGAUUCAUCAUAAUUUUACUUUAUGUCGCCGCAAAAUUUGCCAUCUUUGCUUAUUAAUACAAAGCUGUAUUGACACAAAAUGAGGUUCCUGACAUAACACUAGGAAAAGAGAAAAAAUAGACAAAGAGAAGGCUGUGUAGUAGGAGCUCCUUUAAAGCCCUUUGCAGCCUGUCAUGUAUGAAACACCGUCCUGUAAGUAUACACCAUUUUCAAAACAAUUGAACUUUUUAUUUCUGAAAACAUGAUUAUAUUUGCAGACCAUCACUUGCACCAAAUGUUCGGCUCUAAACACAACCAUGGGGUUCACUGGCCAGGCCUUGGCAUCAGGUGGGCCAGAUGGCAAGACCACCAGCCCACUCAGAUUCCAGGAGUCAUUGGCAGGCCAGCAACCACGGCCUUGGCUCUGUGGCCCUUCUUGCUGGUGGAGAACUGAUGUGGUUACAAUGGCUGUUAGUAAUCUACAAGAGCGAUGGUCUACUGUAGAUAAGCUCAGCAUAGACAGACUGCGCUCUUGAGGGACAGCACUAAAACCCCCGCUGUGGGCUCUUUGCUUAACCAAGAGCACAGCAAGGUUUUAUCUGCCAGAGAAUACAUACCUGCAUAUAACUGAUAAAAAGCUACAAGAUGAAAGCCCUUCCUUCCAAAGUUACCAGCUCACAAGACUGUAGGCAACCUUGCCCAUCACCAGUGUCCUCUGGUAGACACUCAGAAAAUCUGGAAUAUCCAUGCCUACACGGAAUGUGGAGUAAGCCAUUGUAACUAACUGAGCAAAAGUGACCUAUAAGAAAAGUUCCUGGGUGGAAGCAAGGCUCGGGCUGCCUUCCCACAAAGGUUCUGGUGGGGAAAUUCACAAAACAGUGUAAUGAUUCCAAUGACUGCAUGCUGUGCAGUCAUAAACCAUGUCAAAUGGGCUUGCUUUGUUUCAUAAACUAAUUAUAACAAAGUAGACUCGCUCUGUUUCGAGUUCUAUAUGUAUUGACCAAUUUAUAAACUUGUAUAACUACUACCACAAAUAUAUAUCAACCUAAGACCACCCCUUCUUUGUGUACACAAUUCCCCCUUUCUUUCAUCUCCUCACUACAGCCACCGCUGCUCUAGUCUCCCUUCCCAUAGGAUAGGCCUUUCAAGAAUACACAUAAAAAUAGUAUAUAUGAAAUCUUUUUGAAUGGCUUCUUCCAUGCAGCAUGAUGUAGAGGUGUCUUAUUACAUUUCAAAGAGUUAAUCUUAUUGCUAAGAAGGACUCCAUUGAGUGAGCACUGUCAGACUAUGUUGAUUCUCUUGAUGAAGAACAUCUGAGUUUCUUGUAGUUUGCAGAGAUUAAAAAGUUCUACAAACCUUCAA